rnacentral:rRNA from 1 species
CCUACGGGAGGCAGCAGUGGGGAAUAUUGCACAAUGGGGGAAACCCUGAUGCAGCAACGCCGCGUGAGUGAAGAAGUAUUUCGGUAUGUAAAGCUCUAUUAGCAGGGAAGAUAAUGACGGUACCUGACUAAUAAGCACCGGCUAACUACGUGCCAGCAGCCGCGGUAAUACGUAGGGGGCAAGCGUUAUCCGGAUUUACUGGGUGUAAAGGGAGCGUAGACGGGAUGGCAAGUCUGAAGUGAAAGCCCGGGGCUCAACCGCGGGACUGCUUUGGAAACUGUUAAGCUGGAGUGCGGGAGAGGUAAGUGGAAUUCCUGGUGUAGCGGUGAAAUGCGUAGAUAUUAGGAGGAACACCAGUGGCGAAGGCGGCUUACUGGACUGUAACUGACGUUGAGGCUCGAAAGCGUGGGGAGCAAACAGGAUUAGAUACCCUGGUAGUC